rnacentral:lncRNA from 1 species
GAGACCGCGGGGGUGGAAAAGGCCGCUCGCUCGAGAUUGCGCGCGUAAGUAGACCUCCUUUCUCGCGACGGGGUAGCGGUUCCGGAAUCCCCCAGAACCGUGAGUCCUCCUGAGGAAGCCGUCGGGGGCCUGGCCCUGUUAGGCACUGUCUCCCAGAGUCCCCCUUUCCCACUAGCCGCCUCCGCGUAGCCCGAGACCGCGUCAGGAGUUGCGUCUUCCUGGCUGCGCCUUUUUCGGGACGUCCCCGCGCCGUCCGCCGCCUCUCACUGUCCCCGGAGCGCGCGCCACCCGCCCGCUUCCCACAGGCGGUUUCACGCGGGUCCCCGGCGCCGCGCGCGGCUCCGGCCCUGGCGACUCUUGGGACACCCGAGUAGUUGCGUGAUAGCGGGGCUGUCCUGAGGAUUCGGCGUGCCAGGUUGAGAGCCCGUCGCGUGCCGGGGACUCGCGGCCACUGUCGCUUCCCGUCCGCCCCUCUUCUCCUGGGAUUUGGGGAGGUGGGCGGGAAAGAGAACUGGUCGGCGGCCACCCUUGCCGACUCCUCCUCAGCAGGUCGCAGUUGAAAGGUCAUCCUUCUAGAGCCCACUCCCCUGGCCCGGCGGGCAAGGAUAGGUCUCCAAGUCCCACCCUCUCACAGCGCUCGGUUCUGUUCCACUUUAGAACAGGUCGCAGUUGCCACUACGUAAACAGCUCCCCAUAGAGAGAGUAUUUUAUUCAUUCCGAUUGCUCCGUCUUUUAUCUAGAACAGAGUCUGGUACAAUGGCUCUCGAAAUGUGGUCUGGUGACCUCAGGGUCGCUGAGACCCUUCUAGGGAAUUCACAAAGUCAAAACAACAUUGAUAACGUUUCUUACGUGUUAUUUGCCGUUUUUACCCUCAUUCUGUUGGAAAUGUACAGAGUUUUCAAGCGGCUAGAUGACGAUUGACUAGCUGGUAAAAUGUAUCCUGGAGUAUCCUUGUGUUUUCUAGAAUUUUCUAAGGUAGUAGGUUUAGGGCAUAAAUACGUGCGUUUUCAGAGAUUAAUGCAAUUUGCUCUCAGUACUCCUAGUGUGUUUCUAGGAGGUAGGUUAGGUAGGUGGUGAUAGCCUCCCUUCAAGGGGAACAAACUUGCUAAAUAAAUAGAACAAACCAGCCCAUAGUGUACAAACCACAUCCGAGGCUCCUGGUUAGAAAAUUUUGCAGCAAAGAGGUACGAGAGCAGAAGGGAAAAUCCCCAAACUCUCACAAGCGCAGAAACCCAUGAUCAGUGUCGUUGGGCUGAAUUAUACUCAUUAUAAUAGUAAAAAAAAAAAAAAAAAAAAAACACCACUCCUGGGUGAAGAUUUAAGAUACUAAUAAGACAUGCAGUGUAUGUACUAGCAUAUACAACCACAGCGCACAUGGCGACAGAAAACCAGAGAACGUGCUUAAUAGCAGCACCCGUUCUCCCCGCUUCAUGAAUGAUCCUGUGAGACUCCUACAAAGGGAGUUUCCCCAGUGUCAGUGCAUGCUGUCUCACCUUUGAGCAGCCCGCUCUGAUCAGCUGUGAGGGUGUACUUUCGCUUUGCAAUAAACUCUUUUGCUUGCUUUUACUUUGGACUUCAAAAUUAUUUUGCACCGCGAAGUCCAGAACCUCAACCGGCCCACCAGCUACAGCUACACUUACAAGCUAUCUUCGGUUAUACCUGCUCUAAUCUCUGUAACCU